GCCAGUUAAACCGCUGUUCCGCGCAGUUCUGCGGGUAAUCGCUGCAGUGCCCCGCCCCUCGGCCAGCGUGUCGCGUGCGUAACCAGGGGGACGACCUAAGCGGGGCGGGAGACAGGACUCGGCUCCCCCACUCCUCACCGUCCAGAUAAGGGAAAUAAAACAAAAGUAAAGCAUAAACAUGAGCAUCAGUGAAGCAACUAUAAAGUUAUUGCCGGCCAGGUUGGGAAAUGACAAAUUAAGAGAUGAGCGUGAACCAUAAAAAUGGUUGUCUGGGUAGAAAGACAAAGAACAUGGACACCAAAAGUGGGAAACAAACAUGAGAGCCAAGGAAAGGGAGACCGAAAGGCAGCAGCAAGAAGCAGCAUGCUGCCCAGCCCUGGAAGCAGAAGCAGCUGCACACCAACAAGCCAUCGAGCUGGAAAAGAAGGAAACCCAAGAAAAUGAGAAAGAGAGGCUGAAUGCCCAGAGCAAAAUGGGCAAACCCCACAGUCCCCAGGUACUCCCUCCAUCCAAGGAACACCCAGCAGGGACAGGUUGUGCCCUGCAUACAAAAAAGAAGCAGAUUGUAUUGAAGAAUAUUUCACCACUUUUGAAAGGUUAUGUGAGAUUCAUAAAGUUCCAGAAGAUAAGAAAGUCCCUUGAUUGCAAAGUUGUGUGGUAAAACAUUAAACAUAUUUAAUGAAAUGCUAGUUGAAAAAGCUUUGAAAUAUUCUGAGUUUUAAAAAUCUGUCUCGCAAAGUUUUCAAAUUACCCCUGAGUUGUACAGUCUGAAAUUCACAAAUCUCAGGAAAAGUGCUGGCAUGAGUCAAUAUGUCUAGAAAAUGUGUGGCCCAACAAGAAAAAGGGAAACGUAGCUGAGAACUAUGACCAAUUGUUUGUUUGAUCUCUUUGCUCAAGAGCAUUUUCUAAGAGCAUUUCUAUGUUCUGAGAUGUAAUAUAGAAUAAAUCUUUAAGUUCUCUGCAGGAAGUUGCCAUCCUGACUCCUGAUUCCUUUGUACAAGCCCAAAUGUCUAAUGAGCACAAGACACUGAAGUAGGGGCAGAAGCCUGGUGAAAAGGGAAUGACACUGUUUUACCACUGGGAAGAAGGAGAGUGGUUGGGAGCCCAGGUGCUCACCUCCCCAGAAUCAUUCCCCUGCUGGAAAUCCCCAUCAUACACAACCUGUACAGGAGAAUGGUCCAAGGAGAUACCACCAAUGUAACUCCACUGAGCACAUGAGAAAUAAGUGCCCUAAGAUAAACUAAGAUCACACCCCAUCCAACGCAGGUUAAUGCAACUGUCAUUAACAUAGAGGAACACGUGGAACCACUGAUUCAUUUUGUGAUGCCUGAUCCUGAGGAAGUGGACCUGGAGCUUAUCAAAGUUGCCAAUGUAAAUUGCAAGGAAUGGGUAGCCUCAAGGGACAUUGGAGUACAAAUUUCUCAGGUCAAGGAAAGCAUAUUCAGAAAAACUGGAUACGCAUGUUACCUGUCCAGGAAGUAGAGCUCCUGGCAUUGGAAAAAUAUAAACUAACUGUACCUCUGGCUAAGGUGCAUUUUGAAUGAGAAGGUUUGAAAGUUGAGAUAUUAAACAGCACUUCCACAGCACUGCUGGUGGGAAGUGAUAUUUUUAGUAUGUUCACAGCUGUUAAUUUUCGAACCUCCUGAAGAAGUGAGGUUCUUACCCACGAAAGCCUAUGCUCCCAAUACUUCUGUUAGUCUUAAAGGUGCCACAGGACCCUCUGUAGCUGUUAAUAUUGUAACCCAUAGAAGAGAAUUGUGCAGACAAAGAAGCAGCUGUGGGAGAAGGGGAAACCCCAACUGAGCAAGAGGAAGCAAAGUGUUUUCAGAUGUGGGAGGGAUUGAAGCCAGCUCCUGCAUAGCAAAGGAAAGUAGAAUCCUCUGAGACUGGGGGAGGGGGAAUUAACCUCUGCUACUGAAGAAUCUGUCCCAGUUGUCAGCUGCUAGCAUUUUGCAGAUGAACUAAGGGUAGACUGCACUCUAGAGUGCAUAUGGAGAUAUGUCCUGAAGGGAACCCCAGUGAGGGGAAAUGGAGAAUAUACAGAUAAGCUCGGGGGGGAGGGGGGAGUAAAAUCCCUGGGAAACCUUACAAGUGGCUGAUUGUGCCUGCCCAGCACUGUGGGGAACUGAUCUUGCUGAUGCAUGAUUUUCCUUUUACUGGUCACUUAGGGCCAUGAAAAUCUAUGACCAUUUAAAAAUAUAUAUAUACUGGCCAGGGUACAGAAUGAGGGGGGAGAUUAUUGCAAGUCUUGUGAAUUAUGUAAAAAAAAGACCUCCAGGACUGCAGAAAGUUCCUCUUUGCCCCUUGCCUGUAAUACAAGAGGCAUUUUAUAGGGUAGCAAUGGACAUUGUGGGUCCUCUGCCACACCCCACCCAAAGGGGGAAGAAAUAUAUCCUGGUUGUAGUGGAUUUUACCAUCAAUAUCCCAAAGCAGUUGCUCUAUUGACAUAAAGCCUGUUUCUGUAGCAAAAAACCCUUUUCAUUAUUUUUAGCAGAGUGGGUUUUCCUAAAAAUAUUUUAUCAGAUCAUGAGUCAGAUUUCAUGUCUCAGCUAUUCAGUGAUUUAUGGAAGUUGUGUGGGAUAAACCACUAAAAGCUGCCCCACAUCCCCUAGAGACCAAUGGUUUGGUGGAGAGGUUCGGUGGGACACUGAAAUCAAUACUGAGGAUGUAUGCCCACAAGCAGGACUAAGAUUAGGAUGAAAUGUUACACUGUUUGUUUGCUUAUAAGGAAGUGCCCCAAGAAUCUACAGUUUGGCCCAUUUGAUCCCCUAUACAGAGGGAAAGUGUGGGGACUCCUAGAUCUUACCAGAGACUGCUGGGAAGGAGAUACUGAGAUAGAAGGGUAGCCUAUAACUGAAUAUGUACAAAGGUUCAGGCAAGAGUUAAAGGACAUGCUGGAAAUGAUUCAGAGUCACCACAGGGACAGUCAGGCCAAACAAAAGGUGUGACCAAUAUAUUUGUAAAUGCCCUUUGAAGUAGGAGACUUAGUGUUGCUACUUAUCCCUGUGCAAAACUCGGAAGGGAGUUUUUGAAAUGAUAGAAGAGGUAACUGAAUGUACAUACAUGGCAAAAGACCUGACAGUAAUGCUGCCAUGCAGCUGGUGCAUGUAAACAGAUUUAAAGUUGAUCACAAGAGAGAAGCCAUGGUAAACAUAAUCUGUUGUGUAGAAAGGGAAACUGAGGCACAUCUCCUCAUUGAUUUGACAGCUGAAAGCCAAACCGGCUCAUCUCUGGAAAGCCUCAAUAUCUACAAUGAGUUAAUAUAAGUUGAAAAAGCAAAGGUGUUUUCUGUACUGCAAGCACACAGACAAGUGUUUUCUAACAAGCCCGGGAAGACUCACUCACUAACUCAUAAGAUUGUUACUGUAGGAUCACAGCCACUUCCCAGCAGGACCUACUGUACCACUGGCAAGGUACAAGAGCAAACUUGCACAGAGAUGCAGAGCAUGCUGGCCCUGGGAGUGACAGAGUCUGACUGCUCUUGGGCAUCACCUGUGGUCUUUGUUACUAAGGCAGACAACACUGUACAGUUUUGGGUUGAGUAUAGGAAACUCAAUGCUGUCAUGGUGCCAGCUGCUUAUCCUACGCUUAGAAUUGAUGAUAUGCUGCAUAUCUUAAGAAAAGCUAAAUAUAUCAGCUUUUUUUAUUUAAAGGAUACUGGCAAAUUCCUUCCGAUAAUGUUCUGAAAAAAUCUGCUUUUAGUGAUGUGGAACUGUUUGAAUUUUAAAUGGAUUACAGGACUUCGCAGGGACCUGUGUCCACAAUAUAGUGAUGACAAAACCUCACUGAUCUGAAUUGCACCUAAAGUGUGAUAGCAGACAACCCUUAAAGGAGAACCGUCUUUCAAACUGUCUUCCUGUGGUAUAGAUUUUAGAUAUGCUCCCUUCCCUUGUUUGCUUUGCUGUGGAUUUAAAAAUUAUUUUAACAGUAAAAAUAUAUAGUAUCCUCUAUGUUCUUGUCACUCUUUGGUAGUUUCUAAUUUCUUGAUGCUCACCUAUAUAUUACUACUUAAUUUUCCAUGAAAAAUUCAUUUGUGAAAAAGACUGUUUUUUUUUUCUUUUUUAAUAUAAUUUUUUUCAGUCAGUCAAAAAGGUUUAUCGCUAAUUGUAAGGCAGUAGGUUCCUUUCUAGUUUCCUUUAAUCAGUACUACACAUGCACAUUAUUCUGCAAUUUAAUCAAUGUCUUUUUGCUCCCUCAUUCAUCUUUCAUGCUUGAGUUGCUGUAAUUCAGGGUCUGAUGGGGUGGACUAGGUCUGGAGGCAUCAGGGUCCCGCCACACCCUAUCCCAGAUAUGAUCAGUAGAGAAGUCCUCCAAGUGGCCUAGAGUGGUUGCAGGAAGCAGUCAAUCAGGGCCAGCAGACUGACUGCAGCUCCUUUUUUGAGAGUCAGCUGCUGCCUGGAACUGGAGGAGAGAGGACUGUAUUCUGCCUGACUGAAAAAGCAGCAGGACCACAGACAUCUCAGUGUGGGAGGGGAGCAAAGAAGAAGCUUUUGGCUGGCUGCUGGGACUGAGUAAGGAAUGAGUCCAGGGAGGGACGCAGGAAGAUACUGUCUCCAGAGAGGAAGCCCUGGGGAUAUGGCCCUAUACCAGGGCUGGGACAGGUUAAAGACUGUAUUCCCUGGAAGGGCUUUGUUCUGUUUCCCAUACAGAGUAUGUGACUAGGGCAGAGGGCCGAGUCACUGAAAAACCGCCUGAGAAACCACCGACAGGGUUCAUCAUAAACUGAAAAACUGCAGACACAUCUGAUCAAAAGUGGAUGUUUGUGAGAGCGGUGUGAUGGUACUGGAAUACGGUGUCUAAGUCUGGUGUCCACAAUUCAAGAAGGAUGGGUGAGAUCCACAAAGGUACUCUGACACCUAAGACCCAUUUUCACACAUUACUGCAAUCCACAAAACUCCUGCCUGGUUGUCACCUAACCCUGUAGGUGCCUAAACUCACUCAGUGCCUAAAUUUUUGCUGUUGGGCAUGUGCAUUGCAGCCUCAUGAUAGGUAUCCAGACUCCAACCUCCCAUGUAAGCCCCAGACUGAUUUGCCAAUAUGGAAAGAUAGGUGUUUGACUGCAUAAGGCACAUCUGGGGACCUAAUCCUGUAGGCAAAUUCAGAAGCUGCCUACUAGAUUGGAUGUCUCAGGUAAGUUCACACAAAACAGUUGUAGGUGGGGUGAGGACGAUCUCCCUUAUACCAUUUAGCCUAGUGGACAGAGUGCUUCUGUAGGCUGGUUCUAGUGCCCAUUCCUCUGGGGGUGGGAAGAAGGGAAAUUAUGAACAGGGAUUGGCCAUCUGUCAUGUGAGUGCCCUACUCACUAGGCCAGGAGUCGGCAACGUUCGGCUCGCGGCUCGACAGGGUAAGCACCCUGGUGGGCCAGGCCAGUUUUAUUUACCUGCUGAUGCGGCAGGUUCGGCCGAUCGCAGCCCCCACUGGCCGUGGUUUGCCGUCCUGGGCCAAUGGGGGCGGCGGGAAGCCGCGGCCAGCACACCGCUCGACCGUGCCGAUUCUCGCCGCCCCCAUUGGCCUGGG